rnacentral:rRNA from 1 species
GAGUUUAAUAAAUUACUUAUUUUUUUAUAAGUUUAUUUUAAAUAGGUUUUUUAUUUGAUUGGGAGGAUUUAUAAAUUAAUUUAACUUUAUAAUUUAGAGGCCAUAAAUUUUUGGAUUAGUGAUUAUAUAUUUUUAUAUAUUAAAAUUAAUUACCUUAGGGAUAACAGCGUAAUACUUUUGGAUAGUUCUUAUAAAUAAGAGUGUUUGC